rnacentral:rRNA from 1 species
UACGUAGGGCGCAAGCGUUGUCCGGAAUUAUUGGGCGUAAAGAGCUCGUAGGCGGUUUGUCGCGUCUGCUGUGAAAACUCGAGGCUCAACCUCGGGCUUGCAGUGGGUACGGGCAGACUAGAGUGCGGUAGGGGAGACUGGAAUUCCUGGUGUAGCGGUGGAAUGCGCAGAUAUCAGGAGGAACACCGAUGGCGAAGGCAGGUCUCUGGGCCGCAACUGACGCUGGAG